UCAUGUAAAGCUAAUACAAAUCAGCUUAGGCAUAUUUUGGUAGUUCUUUGUUUUGUACUAGGAGCUUGCUUAUGAUCAUGUAGCCAAUUUGAACAUAUCCUUAGUUUGAAGUUUGAACAUAUAGCCAUUUAGCCUUCCAACCGCCUACUAUAUGACUCAUUUGAAUAUACACCUUUGAAUCCAGGCAACACUGAUCAGCUACCUGCACGUGGAUGAAGAAGGCUGCAUUUGCGAACCAAUUCUUGUGACAAGACAAGAGAGCAGAGUUAUUAAUACUUUGGUUUACCACAUCCACAACAUGGCCAACUGGAGCACCACAAGGAUCUCGUGAAGGAAGUCCACAAGCCCUUUUGCUUCAGUUUGGACACAACCCCCGGCUGGUAUUGCUGCUGAAACAGGUGGAGACAACAAUGAAGAAGAGGCACCAGAAAGGAAGACCAGUGGCCAAGAGUGUGUGUGUGCGCACGUACGUGCGUUUAUGUCAGCAUGUGUGUAACUGGGUUGGUCAUGGUACAAAAAUACAGAAUUUAAAGCACCCACACCACACUUGAAUCACAAGCCACAACUACUGACAAUGGAAUGGCUGGGUUUCCUAGAUUCGUUAGGAAGCUCUUCAGUGCUAAGAACUUCUUAGGAGCGCUCAAAGAACGCUCCUAAGAAGUUCUUAACACUUAAAAGCUUCUUGAAAUAUUUAUGUAACACUACCUAUGUUUAACUAUAGGCUACUUUAUUUAUUUGAAUCAUUAUACAGUUUUCAAAUAUUUAUUACAUGUAGAUUGUUGUAAAAGCUUCUAUCAUUUUUAACAUUUAAAUUGCAAUGUUUUGUUUGUUAAACUAAUAAAAGCUUAUGCAUUUAUUUACUA